AGAUCUCUGAACAAAGAGUUGUUAUUUGGGUGACUGUGGAUGUGCACUCUACCCAAAUACUGGAAGAAGUACCUGUUGGUUUUCAGGAUGUAACACUCCCAGAUUAACACAGGUUCCUUUUGUCAUCUGCCUUUAAACCCAGUGAAUAUUCAUCAGUGAUGCUGAGGCAAAGAAAAAGGCUGCAUGAUUAAUUUUGCUUUCAGCAUUGGAUGUGAUAGUCUGCUUAGAAAGCCCCUGCAUGGAAUGGCAGCAGAGAAGAGCAACAAGUGCCUGCUUUUUGUGAGGAGGAACACAAUGUGCUGUUUCCCCUGCCACAGCCCCAGAGCCCUCACCAGCAGUCAUUCAACUCCUUAGCCUGUGAGCGUGCCAAGAUCCAGCAGUUAUCCCAGGUUCCAGCUGCUGUGCCUGGAGAUGUGAGAAGCGUGCUCAGGCUCAUUAAACGUGCAGGACCUGGGAGCUGUGCCCGUGGUGACACCACAGACAAUAUUCCACGUGAAACUCAAGCACUGGAGCUCCUUGGCAUGAGGCACACGCGAGCGCUCGGGAGCAGUUCCAGAGCCGACUCCAGCACGUCUCCUUGCUUUUCAGCUGCUCACCAAGAGGUGGUUUGUACAGAAAAACCCAGAAGGGAAACACGUGUCCUCAGGGAAGCUGGAGAUGGAAAUAGUUCUCAUGUGAGGCAUCACACACACAUGGACUGGAGGCUGCUUUGGGAGUUUCUCCAGAGACCUUUCCUGAAGAUUGUGAAGAGCUGGGCUUUCUCCUGCCUGGAGUUUUGUGGGGAAAACAAAAAGCAGUGUCAGAUGUGGAGUUCGUACAGAGGAUAAUAUCCUUACACAUCUUCAUUUCCCCAAGCUAAGAGAGGACUGCUUUUCCAAAACAUGCAUAAGCUGGCUAUGCUACUGUACCACUUCAAUUGUUUCCAGCUAUAGGCAGAGAUCCAGAGGCAUUCUGGAUCUGUAAGAUGCAUUCUGGAUUCCAACAGGAGUCUUUUCCUUUAAGCCCGCUCAUUUCUUCAAUCUAACACAACUAACCUGAAAUACUCUUAUUUCUUUUAAACUCUGCUUCUCUAUUUGCUUUUGAAUUGCUUUCAUCUAGAGUGUGAAAUUCCAAGUGACUGCAAAAAAGCUGUCUGAGGAAUAUUCUUGGCAGUACUGCUAGCAGAGAGUACAGGAAACCUCACGAGAGAGUUGGUUCCAGCAGCACUGCCAUCCACGUUUCACAGCUGCGGGGACAUCCAGAGCAAAUCCAAACACUGGCUUUCCCUUCAGCAGAGCCACAGUUACCCAGCACACCACCCUGGCAAUGUCCAGGGCCAGGUUGGAUGGGGAUUGGAGCCGCCUGGUGCAGUGGAAGGUGUCCCUGCCCACUGUAGGGGGUGGAUUGGGUGGUCUGUAAGGUCCCUUCCAACCCAAACUGUUCCACGGUCCUGUGAAAACUCUUGCAGGCAGCCGCUGGCUGCUCAGCAGCUCUGCUUGGGUAUAUUGGCCUCAUCUGUGCAUGAAACACGUUUUCUGUUACUGGUGCAAGCUCCUGAAUAUCACCUGAUCUGAAAGGUCCUCGAGAUGGAAGGGGUCCUCAGCACCCCGUUUUGGACAGGAGAUUAUCCCUCUGGAGAAGACACCCUGGAGGAGUGCUGAGGCUGCCCUGGACAGGCCAGGCCAUGGUGGCUUUGCCUUGAAAAUAGAGAGGCCUUCAUUGCAACAGGCCUGAGAUCUACAGGGAGUAAGAGCAACUCAGAACUGCGCUGCUGCCUUCACCCUGUGUGUUGCUGGGGCGAUGCAGAGCCUCAGCUUUGCCUUGGCUCAGCCGUGCUGCGGCUUUGGGGCUCCUCAUUGUGCCCCUAAGGGCAAGGGAACGCUGCAGGCACUGCAGCCAGGGCUGCUCACUGACACCUGUGCUGCCAGCACUGCCCUGCUCUCGGGCCUCUGUCUCACUUGGCCUUCGAGUCUGCAAGAGAACCAGCACUUUGUAAGCCAGUGUCUUUCAGAAUUACUUUGCUUAUAGGCAGUACCGGUGUUAUUUAUUUAUUGGUCUCACUAAAUUUUCUCAUUUCUCUACUGGAAAUAAUCAAUUUAUUUUUUUUUUUUUAUGAACCUGGCAACUGCAAUAACCACAUAACCCUGAACUUGCUAUUUAACCCAGUGGUGUUGAUUUAGGUGAAACCAUCAGACAGGUCCCCUACAGUUUAAAAAAAUACCAUUUAUAGCAGCGUGUUUGUGGAUAUUGUGAACAGUGAGGUGUGGCAGGAAAGACUUUAUCAGUAUUUUUGUCAGUAAUUUUUAUGCAGAACUCUGACUUAGCAUUUUCUAUCAUAGAAUAUUGGAAUAAUACAAAUUUCUUGAGGCAGAUAAUUUGCUGAGUAAAAUUUCAGAACAAAAUAAAACUGGAAUAAAAGUAAAUUCAUAUACUUCUGACAACUUUCCCAAAUAUAUUAAACCUAAGGAAAUACCUGAUGGUAUUUUAUAUUUAAUAUGUUAAGGUAUUUCAUAUAUAAGAUAUUUUAAUAUUCUAAGGGUGUUUCAGGAAUAGGAGAUACCAUUUCUUGCAAUAAAUGACUUUAAAACAGAAAAUAGUAAUUAUGUAGAAGGGCAGAGUAUUAACAAAUUCUUGAUUGCACAAAAUAAUCCUCUUUAAAAAUUUUCCUAAUUGUCCUGACCUUUUCUUUUUGUCACUUAGCUGAUCUGCAUGUUAUGAAUUACCAGCUGAACUGGGUGUAGAAACAAUUAAAUCCAGCUCCCAAAUCUUGCAGAAUGACUAAAGCAAAAGCAGAUGACAGCUGGGAGAUAGCUGUGCAAUAGUAUUCUCUGUUCAGGAAAUAAUAGAUAGCAAGCUGUGGAGACUUCUGGGGAAACCACUGGGAAGAGGGAGUAUACAUUUUUUUCCAGUUAUUAUAUUAUCUUCCAAAAAAACCCGGUCACACACAUACUAUGUUUGUAGUAAGUAAAGUUAGCACAUGGUAAAACGAAGUCCUGUAAAAAUGUCAGCAAAGAAAAUUAUUUCUUCUACCCUAAUGCACAUACACAUACACACGACCAAGAGCCAGCUUUUGUGGUAAAUAGUAGCUUUCCUUACACGUUUUUAUUCAGAAAAUGUGGAAUCUCUGAAUUAUGCCAUGUUGGUCAACUUACAAAACUUAUAAAAAAUCCCUUUUGGUCUCUUACUCCACCUGCUUUGGCAGCACACCCUGGCUGCAGAGGGCUGAGUGCUCACUUCUCAUGCAGGAAUCACAACUUGGGUCAUAUUUAUUCACUUAUUUCUCACACAUCCUACCCUCUUGCUUAUGCUUUUUUCACAGCUGCACAUUUUUCAGAGACUUCAGCAAAGUUCCUUGUCAAGUAUCAGUGCUGU